rnacentral:lncRNA from 1 species
GAAAUUGUCUUAUAUUUAUAUUACUUGUAAAAAUCAAAAUAAGACUACUAGUAAAUAUUUUUUUUUUCUUUAAUUGUUUAAUUUAAUUGAGUAUUUUUUAUAAAGAACAGUUUCAUGUAACAUGGGUAUAACAAUAGUUAAGAUCUUCCCCACUGACUGUGUUUAGAUCAACUAUACAAAUUAAAUUUAAAUAGGUAAUACACUAUUUGGGAAUUUUUUUAUUUUAAAAUCUUUUUUUCAAGAAAAUAAAACCAUUCAUCUCAUUAAAUAUUAUUUCUUCGUAUCAACGACUACACGAUAAAUAAAUAUUAUAUCAGCAAUUACAUGAUAGUUACGAAACAGUUAAUAAUGAUAUUAAAAAAAAAAAUUGAAGUAACAUCCACAUUGAUAGCAUAUUAUGUUAUAUAUAAACAAAAUUUAUCGUAAUUUUAAUACCAUUUAGAUUAUAUAAUUGGACAUCAAUAAAUAAUUCACUUUGACAAAAAUAAAAAUUAUUUAGAAUAGAAAAAAUAUAUAUGCUCAAGAAUAUAGUUCUUCUUUUAUUUUGGUUUACCAAAAUUGUUCUCAAGAAUUGUCUUUUCAAAACAAAAAUCUUAUGCAUGUAUGAAUCUUUUUUAUUUUUAAUUUCAGUCCAACGACUAAAAUUUAUCAAGCUCAUGCUUAAUAUGACAUGUAUAGGCUUCACCAGAAAACAAACUAAAACAAUGUGUUAAAAGGAUCAAAUGUAGCUCAUAACUCAUUUACAGCACCAAGGAAGACAAGCAAAACAAAAUAGCAUAGAGAAGUAUCAUCUGUAUAUGCAUCAUCAGGCAACAUAGACAUCCACGUUAAAGCUACACCAUCAAGAAUUUNNNNN